GAUCCUAUCUAAGAUAUAGGUAUUUUAUAAAUAUGAGUAGUUUUAUUUUAUUGAUAUUGAUUUAGAUUUUGAUUCCUUCUUUCAAGAAUGUUUUACAGUUUUCACAGUACAUGUUUCAUACUUAUUACAUUUCUGCCUAAGUAUUUUAUGUAUGUAUGUAUGUAUGUAUGUAUGUAUGUAUGUAUGUAUUUACUUAUUUUUGAUACAAGGUCUUGUUAUACUGUCUAGGUAACCUGGAAUUCACAAUCCUCCUGCCUUGGUCUUUUGCACAUAGGGAUGGAAGGCACAAGAUAUUCCGGCUUAUAUUUUACUUUUUUUUAAUUAAAAAUUUAUUUAUUAUGUGUGUGUACACAGACACACAUCACAGUGUACUUACGGAUGUCAGAGGACAACUUUUAGAAUUUGAUUCUCUUUGACUAUGUGGGCCCUGAAGAUUUAACCCGGGUCAUCAGAUAAAGCAGAGGAAGUGCCUUUAUCUGCUGAGCCAUUUCAGCAGCCCUUCACUCUUUUGGAAGUGGUGUCUCCUUAUUCUACUUUGGUUUUGGUCAUUUCUGGUAUGUAAAAAUACAAAAUAUUUUAUGUUGAUCAACUUUUUAUAUCGUAUAAUUAAACAGUUUUAAAAAUGAAUCCUUAUAUUCUAAAGGUAAGAUUCUGCUCCCUGUGAAUAAUGCUCCUUCCUCAGUUCUGAAUUGUAGGACAGCAGUUUCCUUUCUCCUCACUACUCUGCUGUCACGGCUCAGCUCUUACAACAGACAUUUAUACCAAGCUCAGUGGCACAGGUCACCUGAGUGACUGAGACAGGAUGGUCAUAGAUCUUAGGUAUUUAUGAAUCGCACAACAAGCCUUGUUGAAAGGCGGAGAGAGAGGAGAGGAGAGGGGGAGAGAAAGAAGAGAGAUUGGUUGAGGUUUGUUUUCCACCGUUCUAGAAGCCGAGACUGCAAUCAGGACUCAGCAUGGCGAGGCAGUGCUAAGGGUUCGUUCUGGCUCAGAGAAGGCCGCCUUCUUCCUCUGCCUUUGUGAGGUAUCCAAUGUGUCCUUGUGUUGAAAUGGCCACUAAUCCCAUCAAGGAGCUCAGCGUUCAUGAUCUCAUCAGACCCUCAUCACUUCCCAGUGCACUGGGCAGGACUGUCCACAUUGCACUCUCAUGGUUCUGGACGCACUCCAGCUUGACACCUGAAGUCCUCAAGGGAGCUGCUGAGAGGCCUAACGUCAACUCAUCUCAGCCGACUCAUGCACCGGAACUCUGAAGCCAAGCUUUGGUACCCAUGGAAAUGGUCCCAGUUGCAGCCGGACCGGGAAAGAAAGAGUGCUCUAAUGCUCACCCCUCUCUUCCCUGGGCUUCCCCGCCACCCUGCUGAUCUGCUGUACUGGGAACCAAGUGAAGGACUGCACAGGUCAGUAAAUGGGUAUACAGAGAAUCAAGAGCAUAGACUUAAGGCGAAGUCCAAUAAAAUAUAUCAGGUAAACACUUUCAUUUAAGGUAAUUAAGACUUUCAAAGAUAUUCCUACACUUCUUUGACUAGCUAUUUUAUUUUUAGGUUACAAAUUCUUAGUUAUUAAAUCAUUAACUAAUUAUAAGCAAAUGUCAUUAUAAAAGCUAAGUUUUAAGAUAAAGUGCAUACAUUGAAUCUGAAAGGUGCCUUUGAAUAAAUAAGUUAAAUUAAAAUUAAAAGAUUAGUGUUAUAAUGGUAUGAUUUUUUAAAAAUAAAAAUGUGUAGAAGCAGACUGUUUUUCAGUAAAAUAACAAUGUGUUCCUGGCCAAUCUAGUUCUAAAAAGCAACUGUGAACUUGAGUAGCAAUUUAGUAUUGGUUUCCUUUACAAAUAUUUCCAUAACGAAGCAAAGCUGAACAAGAAAACAGUUAAGAGCUCCAAGACUGUCUGGAAUUUCUAGGUUUAUUCUGAUGAAGAAAAUGAGCUUCUUUUUUUUUUGACUUUAAAAUUUUAUUCAUAACCAGUGACAUAAAAGAUUUAUUUUCCACACUUAGAAAGCACAGGGAUAGGGAGUUGUCUUCAGCCUGUCUCUGGCUUCUACUUUAUUCCUUGUAGCAACCUGUUUCCUGUUCUUAAUUGUCAAUGUCCCUUGAGAGCUACAGUGCCAUCCAUGCAAUGUCACAGGCAAAGCUUGGCAUCAUUUAUCAAAGAUGGAUAGCCUCAAAUGAACCAUGCAGGACCUGUUUCUAAGAAGUCUUCCUUUCAGGACUACUCUGUACAACAUAUGAGCCAUUGCCACAGUCACUAUCAAAGGAGCUGUGGGCAUAUGCAGUACUCUGAGCAUGGGUGUUUCCCCAGAAGUAACCUUGAAUGUAGUUAAAAUUUGGCAAGCCCUUUCAAACUAGUGCCUACCAUACUCCAUGUAAAUUUUAAUAUGAACCAUGGGAAGAGAGGAGAACAGAAAGGAUGGGCCUUAUCCUGGAGAAAUAAGACUUGGAAAGCUUAGAGCUUCUAAAAGUUUAAAGCUUGGUCUUGUGCUUCACUUUCCCUUUCUAACUUGGAAGUUACACAGUGGAUCUAGACAGCACUAAAGACUUUGGGAAAGGUCUUUAGUCUCUCUGGACUUAACACUCACUAACAGACAGUCUACCAUUUCUUUGGAACAGAAAUUACUGAAAUGUUACAAUUCCAAAGAAACCAAAUUGAUCUAGUCAUCCCUUUAAAAACAACAAUUUUCACUAGCGGCUUCAGUCCCUUUACAGUCCACUUGUUCUUUACUGUUUAACACUGUAACCAACAUAUCUUUUAAAAACCUUCUACAGUAAAAGAUAUUUCCACAUAAAGAUGUAAAAUAUAAAUGUUUAUGUCUUAUUUUCUCUUUGGCAACUACAGUUGCUUGAAUAGUCCUCAUUCUCCUCUAUUUAUUAGGAAAAAUAACACCCUAACAUAGGAAAACAUGUCAAAUGGGAAAAGGGAACAAUGUCAGGUACAUCCCACCUCCCACCCCUCAAUUUGGUCCCUGAGGUAGCUGUCCAUUAGUCCGUAUAAGUAUACCUGAAGUGUGUCCAUGUCACCUCCUGAGCAGCUAAACACAUAGUAGAGCUCUGUCAUUCAACCACAAAGGCCACACACCCACAUGGCUCUUUUGGGGGUAUGUGACAGUUCACUAUUAAGAGAUCCAUAUGGAGUCCUCUGUACAUUCCUCAUCGCUCGGGCAUGGCACUGUGGUUACAGAAGGCUGGUUUUCAAGUUUCAAGUUUUAAAAACUUCAAGACCCUCCAGCAUCAUCAGUAUCUGACUGUCUAACUUUUUUUGUAACUUCAAUUCCAUUCUCUUCCAGCUUCCUCUUUGCACAGUCCUGACAUGCAUUACCCAGUAAGGUGGUACUGUCUACUCGCUCAGCAUCUG
rnacentral:sRNA from 1 species